rnacentral:rRNA from 1 species
CUACGGGAGGCAGCAGUGGGGAAUUUUGGACAAUGGGGGCAACCCUGAUCCAGCCAUGCCGCGUGAGUGAAGAAGGCCUUCGGGUUGUAAAGCUCUUUCGGCGGGGAAGAAAUGGCAACGGCUAAUAUCCGUUGUUGAUGACGUACCCGCAUAAGAAGCCGGUCAA